GGCAGGAGUCAAAAGAGAAGGGGUUUUACAGCACAUGCUGCAGGCACUUUUUGAAAUGUUAAUAUCACAUCAUCUUGCUUCUAGUUUUGUGAAGCAGCAAAGCCCAACUGGAGCAAAACUCUUCCAUUGGAGCUACUGAGAGUGGUACAUGUCAGUCUUUUCAGCAGCUAGGAAUUAAUGCAGAAUAUUUUAUCCUUUUAAAAUGCUGGGCAAGCAUUAACUAAUCCUCUCAACACCCUUCUGGGCUCAUCCUGUCCUGAACUAGACAUUGAACAACACAUCUAAAUCAUGCUCCAGAGCAAAGAAAACCCAAGUUUGUUGCAGUAAUCAAGGCUGGUAAAGGGAAGGUCCACACAGAGUGCUGAGACCAGCCUGCUUCCUCAUUCUUCGCACACUCAUUGUUGGGCAACUUUCUUCAAUAUCAAGUGAAAACUUCCUU